rnacentral:rRNA from 1 species
GACGAACGCUGGCGGCGUGCUUAACACAUGCAAGUCGAACGGAAAGGCCCUGCUUUUGUGGGGUGCUCGAGUGGCGAACGGGUGAGUAACACGUGAGUAACCUGCCCUUGACUUUGGGAUAACUUCAGGAAACUGGGGCUAAUACCGGAUAGGAGCUCCUGCUGCAUGGUGGGGGUUGGAAAGUUUCGGCGGUUGGGGUUGGACUCGCGGCUUAUCAGCUUGUUGGUGGGGUAGUGGCUUACCAAGGCUUUGACGGGUAGCCGGCCUGAGAGGGUGACCGGCCACAUUGGGACUGAGAUACGGCCCAGACUCCUACGGGAGGCAGCGGUGGGGAAUAUUGCACAAUGGGCGGAAGCCUGAUGCAGCAACGCCGCGUGCGGGAUGACGGCCUUCGGGUUGUAAACCGCUUUCGCCUGUGACGAAGCGUGAGUGACGGUAAUGGGUAAAGAAGCACCGGCUAACUACGUG